rnacentral:rRNA from 1 species
AUUGAACGCUGGCGGCAGGCCUAACACAUGCAAGUCGAACGAGUGGCGGACGGGUGAGUAAUGUCUGGGAAACUGCCCGAUGGAGGGGGAUAACUACGGGAAACAGUAGCUAAUACCGCAUACCAUCGGAUGUGCCCACAGGGGAUUAGCUAGUAGGUGGGGUAAAGGCGCACCUAGGCGACGAUCCCUAGCUGGUCUGAGAGGCUGACCAGCCACACUGGAACUGAGACACGGCCCAGACUCCUACGGGAGGCAGCAGUGGGGAAUAUUGCACAAUGGGCGCAAGCCUGAUGCAGCCAGGCCGCGUGUAUGAAGAAGGCCUUCGGGUUGUAAAGUACUUUCAUCGGGGAGGCGUUACUCGCAGAAAAAGCACCGGCUAACUCCGUGCCAGCAGCCGCGGUAAUUC